GACCUUAUAUUCAUGUUUGUGAUAACAGAAUGCAAUUCUGAUGGGGUGGGCAGAGAAUUUCCACUAAGGCCU
rnacentral:tRNA from 1 species